GGCACUGAAGGCAGAAGUAGGGGGCUGAGCCUUAAAGAGACCUGAAGUUCGGGCUGCAGCUGACAGUGAAGAGGUGUGUGAUGUGGGCAGUUGUCUGGUUUGCUCCACCAUGCCUGAGUCUCUAGCAAAUAAUGGUAAGUCUUUAACAUUUAAUUUAAUUUAUAAAAGACAAGUUGGGGAAAGGGGGUGAAAUACUUUCCUGCAAGGGAGUAGCUUCCGGUUUAUCCCUACAGACCAUACUGAUAAGUGUUAGCCUAGGUAUUAUAGAAGUGAGAGUAGAGGGAUUUUCCUCCUGCAGAAGCAUUGCUUUGAGGUCCUUUAGGCCUCCUGUUCCAUCAUGUCCUAAGUGAAUAGCAACCAGCAGGCUAGGAAGCUGCAAGCUGCCCCUGUGUGAGCAGAGCUGGAACAGCAGGGUGGCUUACAGCUCUGUCCUCUUUGCUUCCCUGCUGCGUUGUGUUCAGAGGGCUCAUUUUAAGGGCACUGUGCAUGGAUACCCCUGGGUGAUGGGCAGCCCCAAGCAGCUGCCCCAGUAAGGAGCAGGAAGCACUGGCUGAAGCUGUCCCUGUGGGAGGUGCUGCUGGCAAGGCUCCUGAGCCUUGAUGGCCAGCUUAAGGGAGUGCAAAGGGUUGCCAGUGUGGGCAUGGCUCUGCCUCUUCCUCUGCUAUCAGCUCAUGGUGCCUGUGGCACUGCCAGGGACAUGGGAGUGUGGCACAGCUGCUGUGAGUGUGCAGCCACAAUUCCUAGGGACUUGCUGGUGUAAGUGAUGACUGAAUUUUUUCCCCAUCAGAGCGACAGUGUUGAUUACUUGCUGUUCAAGCCAGAUCGUGUCUGAUGCACCAGCAGGGAAAUGCUGCUGUGUCCCACACCCUGACAGGGUCUGGUGCUGACAGUUCCCUUUGGCUUUACCUCCAGGGCACUGAAGGUGGAAGUGGGUUGAGCCUUUGGGAGACCUGAAGUUAAAGCUGCAGCUCACAAUGCAGAGGUGUGGAUGAGGACAUUGUCUGGUUUGCUCCAACAUGUGUGCCCCUUUGUCGGGGGAGAAUGGUUGAGAUUUAUAAAGAUUUGUCCUGGGCCCUGCUGGAGUUGGAGUGUUCUGCUUAAGAAGAUGGAUGGUUCUGCUGCUCCCAUGCUGCUGCCUGGCAUCCUCAUUCAAGCCACAGCAUUCCCAUACCCUGCAAUAGCUCUGACCUCGAAGCUGUCAGGAGUGAUGGAUUUGUGUAUUGCCAGCUUAGGUGGAGGGUGUAACAUUUUCUGUUCCCUGAGUACAAGGCAUGUAACUGGAAUGGGUUCUGGAAGUUUCUGCAUGUUUAAUGCAGUUAGAUGCUUUUGUCUGCAGGGGCUGCAUUCCCUGCCUGGCAGCUCAUGUUGUCCUGCCACAGUCAUGCAAGGCAAGGAAGCCUUUCCUGGGAGCAGCUGUCCGGUAUUGGGAGGAUGGCCUUGUGUGAAAGGGAGUCAGGACUUGCUUCUCCCCUGCCAUCCAGAAAGCUGCAGGGGUGUGAAGUGGGCAAGAGGUGUCUGGGAUGCUGCAGCACAGUGUGUUUCUGUACUGUUGAAAGCCUAGUUUUAAUAAAAUCUUAAAUAAUGGGUUGAUUUGGCUGGUA
ensembl:lncRNA